GCAGUUUGAUUUGAUUGUCACUCAGUCGUGCCGUUCCUGCCGAUGUACGCAGAAAAUUAGAAAUGCAUUUUUAUAUAGCAUAUCCAACAGGCAACAAGUAGUUCCUGCAUGCGAACUUUUUUAUCACUACUUUAUCGCACUUGCGUAUUUGCCGAAAAUUAAAAAUGGCAAGUUUUGUACCGGUAACCUGCUUUCCUGUGUGUCGAGAUACUUUUGCAGGCUCUCACGAAAUCAGACGUGGGUGGCUAUAGCCCGCAGCUUAAAAAUUUUGGGGGAACUGGCCGCUGUUGCUGAUGAGCUUUAUCAACAACAGGUCUUCCGUGUAUUCCAAUCCAAGUAUAACGGACUUCCGCAACGUGCAGCUGACGAACUUUCGCGCACCCGUAUUCCACAUACUGUUGCAGUGGUCGCAGCUUGUAGUCAGGAGGGGAUUACCAACCACGAAGGCUUAGAGAUACUGCGGUCUGACCAAAUAAUUAAACAAUUUACCAGAAGAAGUGGGUGUGAACAUUGAUAAUGCGGAAAUCGAAGCGCCUUCGAAGCCGAAAGUCAUCGGGCGAAAGAUGUGUAACAAAAAAACGAACUAUGUUUGUUGUUUUGCAUUCUUGAUCUCUUGCAUAAGAUUGUAACAGAAUCCGCAAAGUUGAAUUGCAUCAUGUUCUGAGUAUAUGCAUGAUUAGCAACGAAUUUACAGAUGCGAGUACCAACAUUCAGUUUUUUUCGUGUCUCUGGCACUAAACCAGGAUUCCAGGA